CGGUCCAGACUCCUACGGGAGGCAGCAGUGGGGAAUAUUGGACAAUGGGGGCAACCCUGAUCCAGCCAUGCCGCGUGUGUGAAGAAGGCUUUCGGGUUGUAAAGCACUUUCAGUGAGGAGGAAAACCUUACGACUAAUACUCGUGAGGCUUGACGUUACUCACAGAAGAAGCACCGGCUAACUCCGUGCCAGCAGCCGCGGUAA
rnacentral:rRNA from 1 species